CCUACGGGUGGCUGCAGUGAGGAAUAUUGGUCAAUGGGCGGGAGCCUGAACCAGCCAAGUCGCGUGAGGGAUGACGGCCCUAUGGGUUGUAAACCUCUUUUGCCGGGGAGCAAAGUGCCGCACGUGUGCGGUUUGGAGAGUACCCGGAGAAAAAGCAUCGGCUAACUCCGUGCCAGCAGCCGCGGUAAUACGGAGGAUGCGAGCGUUAUCCGGAUUUAUUGGGUGUAAAGGGAGCGUAGGUGGGUGGUUAAGUCAGUUGUGAAAGUUUGCGGCUCAACCGUCAAAUUGCAAUUGAUACUGGCAGUCUUGAGUAGAGUUGAGGUAGGCGGAAUUCGUGGUGUAGCGGUGAAAUGCUUAGAUAGCACGAAGAACCCCGAUUGCGAAGGCAGCUUACUAAACUGUGACUGACAUUGAUGCUCGAAAGUGUGGGUAUCAAACAGGAUUAGAUACCCUUGUAGUC
rnacentral:rRNA from 1 species